rnacentral:rRNA from 1 species
AUUGAACGCUGGCGGUAGGCCUAACACAUGCAAGUCGAACGCGAAAGUCCUUCGGGAUGAGUAGAGUGGCGGACGGGUGAGUAACGCGUAGGAAUCUAUCCUGUAGUGGGGGAUAACGUUCGGAAACGGACGCUAAUACCGCAUACGUCCUACGGGAGAAAGCAGGGGACCUUCGGGCCUUGCGCUAUCAGAUGAGCCUAGGUCGGAUUAGCUAGUUGGUGAGGUAAUGGCUCACCAAGGCGACGAUCCGUAACUGGUCUGAGAGGAUGAUCAGUCACACUGGAACUGAGACACGGUCCAGACUCCUACGGGUGGCUG